CAAAUUACUAAUUAAAUCUCUCAUAAAUAUUGAGUCCAAAUCCGAUGGGCAAUUAGGCAUCAGAGACCAUCGAUAUGAAAUCCUGAUCAAAGAGUUCAAAUUUCAAAUUCAAAAUUUAAAAUUCAAAAUUUUGACCCCGGUAUCCAAAAUGUGUGGAACUCAUGAUCAGAGAAUCCUAAUUCUCAAUCAUAGAGUCUCAGACACAUAAGACUCAUAAUCAGCCAUCAGAUCAGAAAGGAACCUCUAAUGUGUGUGACCCCGCAGGUUUGAACCUAAGCCGGUAGUACAGGAACCAAUUCCUGUACUAAUCGAAGUGACCAUCUAGCAAUGGUACCCGAUGAUCGGAUAGGUCGAAUAGUCACAAUCACAAUAUUCAGAACCUACGUGAAUAUGGUUACCGUAUAAUUCAUCCUUUUUGACCCCUGUGUUUAGGACGACUCAGGGUUAAACUGUCAACCCUGAUGAGAUCAUCCGAAUCAUGCUCAACUCAAUUAGUCCUGUGACUCC
rnacentral:lncRNA from 1 species